AAUGUAGCAUUAAGAAAGAUGUUUUAAGAAAUAAUUUGUUUCCUUACUGUUUUAAUUUUUUCGAAAAGAAACAUCAUUUUCGAGAAACUUCAAGAAGAAAGUUAUUAGUAUGUACAGCGUAAUUUUAUUACAGCUAAAACUGAUGCAAGGCAUUGGCACAGUGAAUGGCAGCUGAAAAAUUUUGACCCUUGUUUCUGGAAGUGAAAUGUUAGAUGGUUUGAUGAAGUGCCACAGAGAUUAUCGCUUAAAGAAUGCGUGCAGGCCAACCACCAACACAAGAUAUUAAAAGAGCAAUGAAAAUGAAGAUUUAACUAUAAAGAAAAAUCUGACUAAUAUUAUUACUCAUAACACUUAAUUGUUUCAUAUUAUUGUAAAUUUAUGCGAGUUUUCCUGUAUUCUGUUUAUUUUGCAACUUAUGUUAUUGUAAAUUCAUGUAUGUUUUCAUUCUUGCUCUGUCAUGCAUUUCAUACAAUAAUCGUUUGUUGUGCAUAUUAAUUAUAUGUGUAUAUUACAUCAUUGAAUUACUGUAUUUGAAUUUUAAUAAACCUUUUUACCAUUCAGUAGUACUUUUCCAUAAAACCCUGAACAUUCUAAACAUCCCAUAUCACUAAUCCUCGAUUCUAAAUAAUACUUGAGUUUACUUAAUUCAUGUAUUAAUAACGAAUUUGAAAAAUAAUACAAUAGUGACAUAUUUUGAGGUAAAACAAAUACUGCUCAAUUGGACAUUUUAAAAUGUUUUUCCUUUUAAUAGAGGAACAUUUUUUAAGGAUUUAAUUAUUAGUAUUUGAAUAUUGUAUUAAUAU
rnacentral:lncRNA from 1 species